CAGGAACCAGAAGUGAUGCCUUCCCCCGGUGAUGAGCCAGAUGAUGAGGAAGAGGAUGCAGCGAGCUGGAUGAAAACAGUUUGAAGAUUUGUUAUUGGAGCAUUCAAGACAUACAAUGAUGUCUGAUUUCACCUACUGAGGAAAUGAAGGCUACUGACACUUACCAACAGCAAGAAGAAGAAUACUGGCUACAAAACAGCCUGCACCUACGCUGAGGUAAUAUACACCAACACGCAUUUCUGCUGGCCAAAGUGGAAACAGAGUUGCAGCUAUAACAGCAAUCACUGAAUAGAAAGAUAAAAAGUAUGAGAAACAUAAUUAGUUCUUCCUGACACACGUAUGAAAGUUCCAGGCUUACCGUUUAUUCAAGGCACUGGCUUAGCAACAUAUGAGUUAGAUAAUACUGUUUUACACCUUGACUGAAACCUUUUCUAGUCCCACUGCUGCUUUCAUUAUGGGCAGGCAGACAUCUGGGACAAUACCACAUGCAGCAAGUACCUGAGCACCAGAGAGAACAUUUCUGACAAGGCAAAAAGCAAAUAGGUGAGCAGGGAGCUGCCUGUAACCUGCCCAGCAGGAAGAAGGCAGAGUGAGCUGGGUGCAGUCCUUGGGCACCACCAACUGAUCAGAGGGCUGAAUGCAGCCCCGGGAGGUGACACUUCUGGUUCUCUGCUGUGAAAAGCUAACAGGUACUAACAGGUACAGGUCGGGGUGCUGGAUUAGCAGCACCAUCAGCUGCGACCUCGCUAAUGGCUUUACUAUAUUCACAUUUGUAGAUAAUCCACAACAGUUGCCUAUGGGGAGACUUAUGGUUUAAAGUAACUGAAAUGAACAGCUUGCAACCUUGUGCAAAUUCAGACAUUUUCUAAUGCAAACUUCAGCCAUGUCAUCUUCUGUAUCUUUUACUUUAUUUGCUGUUUCCCUGCAUCCCAAGAUCACACUUCACAUAAUGUGACUGCUGUCAAAUCACGCUACAACAGAAUGGAAAAAGUUUUGUCUAGGAAGAAGAUACAUUUCUCCAAGGAGAGGCACUCCUGUUUGGUACAUGCCUGCAUUUACGGUGCGCUCGCUAACGCCUGCUCUUACUUACCAAGUACAAGUCCCAUGGCAAACGUUUUAAAGUGAACAGGGUCAUAGAUCCACACAUACACCUACAACAGAAAUCAUGUUUAACACUUGGGAAAAAAAAAAAAGCUCUCUGAUACAGCAUUUCUUUUUCCCCUCGCUCAAAUUCUUAGUGCCACCCUCCUGCUUUGCACUGAACCAACCGCGCUUCAGUCAGUACCAAAGGAGGACAAGGGGUGCCAUAAGAAGCACUGCACUUUGGAUAGCACUUGAAACAGGUUUGUGUCAGUGAGAAAGCUGCCAAAACAGACAGCCAUGGGGCUGCAUGCCUGCAUGCCUACACUGAUUGCCUCGGCAUGUACUGAUCACAAUCUGAGCCUGAGGGCAGGAGCCAAAGGUACUGUGCAGUGCAGUGGCUGGAAGGGAAGGGUUCCUGCUGGGAGGGAGUGCAGCUCUGGGCUGGUUAAGAAAAACAUGAGAAGUUUCAAAAUGCAGCUGUUGAAGAAUUACUUCAUAAGUUAUAACAGCUUAAGAAAUAAGUUAUUACCCAGAUUAAUUUACAGGUGACAUGAACAUUCCAGCAGUAAAACUGGAGGAAAUGCAAGAUUCAGAGUAUUACUGAAUCAAGGUGAUUUCUCUUGUAUUUUUGUUUGUUUUUCCAUUAUGCAUCAGUACUGCUCAGCAUGAAGCACAGAAAAAGUUUUGUAAAAAUAAAAACACUUCUCAAGUCUGCCAAAUAAAAAAAAUAAAUUGCUUUGAAGAGCUUCCUUUAAGAGGAAGAAAACAGAAAACCACCACCAACAAAAACAACCAAACAAGACAAUGUCUGGACAUCAAGCUGAAGUGCUCAACUCAGCUCAAGUCCCAUCUGCUGCCCUCAACUACAUCUGUACCCUCUGCCACAUCAUGCUCAUACAGCUGCAAUGCUCAAUACCAAAUGUUUGCACGAGGAUUCUGGCUCCAUCCGAACCAGCGUUGUUCAGCCUUAGGAAAGAUGCUUCCUGGUAGUGUUUUCAAUUAGUUUUAUUUUUAUUCUCCAACUAAACUGUUUUCACAGUCACAAUUCAAAGAAACCAAGUACCAGUAAGCAGGAGCCUUCGGAGGAGGACUUGAUGCAAACUACCAAAGGUCACCUAAGAAAAGGCAGUAAGACUUCAGAGCGAUGCGCCCAGAAGUAUUUAAUAUUCUGUUUCACUUCAUGGCCACAAACAUAAACCACUGGGAAUUGUGGUUUUUAUCAGACAUCUAAUCUCCUUGCAGAUAUCUAAAAUUUGAUCUUGCAAGAUCAGCCAUCAUAUUAUUAUUUCUUCCUUCAACGAGACAAGAGAGAGACUGUGGAAUUCCACUAGGUUAUCUGACAACAAUACACUGACAUUAAAUUUAGGAAGUACCCACAGAUCUUACCUCAUUUCCAUCCAAGAAAACUUGGUCUUCGUGUGGCUCAAGCUUAAAUUUCCUCUUAGUUUCCUUUUUUUUCGGGGUGCCUGGGGUCUCAUCCUGAGGACAAACACAAACUAUACAUAAAAAGCACACACAGGGUCUUAACUUCCAGUAUUUGAACAUAUUGAAUCUGAUAGCUUUUCACAAACUUAAAUAUAUAUAAAUAUAUAUCAAAUGCUCAUAACUAUGAUCAUAAUGACCAUAACUAAAGAUGUUUUAUUUCCUUCUGUGCUCCUGGGUAGCUAAAGAUAAAGGAAUACUGUAAGGACAGAGACAUUUUAUUUUACAUGCUAUCAAAGGACAAGACCAUAACCCCAGGACUGCAUCAUGUGUUCAAAUGCUUAUCAAAGCUCCACUGACAGAACAGGCUGUGUACAGACCACCAACUCUCUUGCAAUUAUUUGGUAGCUUGGUGCCACAUUUACCACAUGGGCAUCUUUCAGAAUCAGUUUCUGCCAUUUUAUUCUCUACCUUCCUCAGUUCUUCAUGUCUUGUGCUUCUCUCUUCCCUACCUCCUGUCUCCUUUCUCUUUGCUAGAAAUAAACUUUCUAAUUUUUGCCCUCUGCUAAGUUAGUAUCCACUGGCUUACAUCAGCUACUAAAAUAUCAGUUUGAUAAUUAGUGAUUAAAAAUUAACAUUUAAUAAUGUAAUACUUCAGAUAACAGGGAACUGGAGGAGUUCAUAACUUCCAGUAUCAGCAUUUUAAGGUAUCUUAUACUGGCUUCUUUGUUUAGGCUGUCUGCGAGUUGGUUUUGUUUAUAAUUCCCUUACUGGCCCUGCAACUUUCUUCUGAGAUCCAGACCUUUGUGCAGGCAGACUGCGCCUUUCUUUGUGUGCCAGUACCUCACUUCAGACCGUUGGAGGUGGACUAACUUCUGAGGCUAUCCUACCAACUCCUGCUGGAUCCACUGAACACAGAACAAAACACACAACAAAACACACCCCUCUUCACCAAGUGUCAACUGUAAAGAAAGGAGAGGAGAGGUCUGUGAAGUGUAAGCACUGUGCAGAUUACAGACCGAUCUCCCUUACACCAACAUGGCAGAACUAUUCACAAGCACCAAGUAUCACAUCCCAAACUUUCUUACCACCAAACAUGGCAAAAAUGCUCCUUUGUUUUACGUGUGCAGCUGCACUGCUUUGAGAUGUAAGGUCACAUACAUACUUGUCAAUCUAUGCUACAGCACACGUGCACAAAGCAUCGGUGCCCACCCAAGCUGAACAGAAACAGUUUUUUAUUAACUCAGCCCAAGUUACAAGAUGAUGAGGUACACAGAGGCACAAAUGAAGUGUCUGCUUUGAUCUGAAUCAGAACUACAACUCCAAAAUGUAAAAAGGUGUAUUUUUAGAGACUAAGAUUGGCAAAGGAAAAAAAAAAGCAUCUCAUACUUUGGAACAACCAACUGAACUUUUAAGCCCAUGUAAUCUUCACAACAUCACUCACUGUAUUCUCUGUUGACAGCUUUGUCUCUUUUCUCAAAGACCUCACUUACCUUCUUACACUCCUCUUUUUCACCAUCCUUUUUCUUUUCUUUCUCCUUCUUAGUUUUUUCAUCUUUGCUGCUUUCCUUCUUGCUUUUCUUCUCU